rnacentral:rRNA from 1 species
AUGGCAAAGUUUUGGUGGAGUGGGUCUCUUGAUCGCAGCUGGUUGCACUGGGUUGCAUGGGACAAACUUGCAUCUGCAAAAGCCCGAGGUGGCAUGGGUUUCCGCGAUUUGGAAUUGUUCAACUUGGCGCUUUUGGGCAAACAUGGAUGGAGAUUUAUUACAAAUCCUAACUCUCUUUGUGCUAGGGUCAUGAAAGGGUGUUAUUUCCCAGAUUGUGAGUUCAUGGAAGCUACGGUUCCACAGUCUGCUUCCGCGAUUUAGCGAGCUAUUGUGUCAGGAAGGGAAGCACUCACAAUUGGUUUGAUCAAGAGAGUGGGCGAUGGAGCUUCUAUUUCUAUUUGGGAGGAUCGUUGGAUCCCGGGUCUUUUCACUUUAUUUCCUUCGGUCAUGCCUGGGGGCACAACACUUGUCACGGUUGAUCAACUUAUUAACUCAGAAAACUGGACAGGGAGGCAAGAGUUGGUCCGACACUUUUUCAUCCCACCAGAAGCCGAAGCUAUCCUAAACAUUCCUUUGCGCCGCGGUGGUGGUGAUGAUUUUCUAGCUUGGUACAUGAAAGAAGUGGUAUCUACUCUGUGA